GUUAAUUACAUCAUUAUUUAAAUGUAUUUGUUCUCUAUCUUUCAUUUUUUCAACGAAAUACUCUUACAACUUUGGUAAAUACAAUAUGAGUUUAUAUUGUCAAGUUUAGCUUUACCCAGCCAAUGACGUCACCAAAUAUAUUUAUGCAUAAAUUAGCAUACACGGUAUUUUCAAAAUGGCGGCUAAUCUUCAAGUUUGUAACGAAUUUUCUCUACAACUAAGUGCGAUAGAAAAACGAAAAUACGAAAUUAAGUAUUCCGUGGGGAAGCUUAAUAGAUAUAGGCAAUAAAAAUUUUGG